ACUCCUACGGGAGGCAGCAGUGGGGAAUAUUGCACAAUGGGCGCAAGCCUGAUGCAGCAACGCCGUGUGAGUGAAGAAGGUUUUCGGAUCGUAAAACUCUGUCCUAAGGGAAGAAACAAAUGACGGUACCUUAGGAGGAAGCCCCGGCUAACUACGUGCCAGCAGCCGCGGUAAUACGUAGGGGGCAAGCGUUAUCCGGAAUCACUGGGGCGUAAAGGGUGCGUAGGCGGCUUAGCAAGCCAGGGGUGAAAGGCAUUGGCUCAACCAAUGUAAGCCUUUGGAACUGUUAGGCUUGAGUGCAGGAGAGGUAAGUGGAAUUCCUAGUGUAGAGGUGAAAUUCGUAGAUAUUAGGAGGAACACCAGUGGCGAAGGCGACUUACUGGACUGUAACUGACGCUGAUGCACGAAAGCGUGGGUAGCGAACAGGAUUAGAUACCCUGGUAGACUGUCA
rnacentral:rRNA from 1 species